UACUGAGGCUGAGCAUCCCUGGGACUGGCGGCUGUGCCCGUAGGGAUUGAUGUUCUAGGAAUCCCAUCCGAGCUGCCCAGAGCUGUCUGGUGUCACUGUUUGCCAGCAUAGAGAAAAGGGGUCCUGGUGCUGACAUCUGCGUGACAGAGGCUGAUACACGUGGAGCUGCGAAUGCUUCACGCGUCUGGGAAACAUCAGAGUCUCUGUCAAACCUUGGAGCUUCCUCUGGGGGAAUAGUUCUGCUCAAAACAAACAUCGCCAGGUGCCCACACGAAUCGGGAGGCUGUCUGGUAUCGACUGCAAGCUAAGUAAGAAUUGAUAAAUCUCCAGCAAUUGUUUAUAUACGCUAUUCUUGUUUGUAUGCAGCAUUGGGUAGCAGCUCAUGGUGGAAACCUCCUUCACUCGUGCAUCUCCCUGAACAAUUUGAGUUGGGAGGCAUCUCGAGCUAAUGAAGACGUUUUCCCUCUCUCUGCCAUUAUCUGGGCGCCUGGAAGAACUGCGGAGGAGCUCUCAUCCUGCUCCAGGCAGGGCUGAUGGGAUUUGCACCGGUCCCAGUUGCCAUGGAGAAAGUGUUAGAUGGCUUUAAUACAUCUCUGCGAAUUUCUCCCCAGAGUUUUCCCAUGACAAGCUGGACUGGAGGGGUUUCGGUGAAGUCCCCCGCCAACCCAGCCGCUCUGUUGGAGAGGCUCGGAGGGCGAUUCCCGCAGAGUGCUGCGGCGAGGAGCGGCUGCACGGCAGAGCGCGUGCUUCAGCAGAUACGCCGGGGUUAAAAUGUAAUUAAUUAGCAAGUUUACGGUGUUUUCCCCUCUGAAAUUAAAAACAAAAAUUAUGCAGAACAUACAAGGUAAUUAGGAAGCGGCAAAGCUACAACGCACCUUUAAACGAGAGCGCUAAAAACAUCAUGUUAGGCAGCACAUUUUUAAUGUAACAGCUAAUAAAGGCUCACACCCUUGAUCACGUCCCGGAGAACAUGCAUCACUCUUUGCUCUCCCCUUACGGAUCCAGGUAGGGCUCCAGCAAAAUGCAGAAUGUUCAUAUUCUUGGUCCUUGUCCAUGAUCAGAUUUCCCAUUUAAAAUCUAUUAGCCAAGAUAAGAAAAUUGCUUUCUAUUUUAUGUGCCUGGUUUAGUAUUUUUUUUUUCCCCCUUGCAUUUGUAACUCGUCCCUUCUGUUUCUUCCACCCCCUGAUGAUUUAGCUGCGCAAGAUGUUCCACCAAUUUAUUAGAGUGGAGUGCAUGGAGCAGGUCAUGCAUAUUAAACGUGAAGUUUUCACUACAGUUGGUUCCAUAAUCCAAAAGGAAAACAGUGGGGUUUUUUUUCUCUUGCUCAUUACUGGGUGCCAGCCGCUGC